rnacentral:rRNA from 1 species
GAUAAACGCUGGCGGCGUGCAUAACACAUGCAAGUCGAACGAAGUGGCGAACGGGUGAGUAACACGUGAGUAACCUGCCUUAGACAAGGGGAUAGCCUCGGGAAACCGAGAAUAAUACCCUAUAGUUUAAGAUGGACUUGAGACUGAUUAGCUAGUGGGUGAGAUAACAGCCCACCAAGGGGACGAUCAGUAGCCGGCUUGAUGGAAGGGACGGCCACAUUGGGACUGAGACACGGCCCAAACACUACGGGGGGCAGCAGUGGGGAAUUUUGCACAAUGGGGGAAACCCUAAGGCAGCGGCGCCGCGUGAUUUAGAGGGCCUUCGGGUUGUAAAAAUCUUUUAUAUGGGAAGCAGUACCAAAAGAAUAAGGUCCGGCUAAAUACGUGCCAGCAGCCGCGGUAAUAC